AACCGAGCGAGAACGAUCGUCGUGCUCGGUUACAUAUAACUCUCUCGGUGCUUGCUGCCAGUGUAGUUUAGGCUUUUAGUUAGUGACGGUGUCUCUCACGCGGAGGACCCUCUCCCAGGAAAAGCAAAAUUUUCUCGAACCUAUCGAUCAUGCAAAAUCGUCCUUACAAGAACGCGACGAUGACGAGGCUCUCUGCGGGAGACACCGUCAAAUCGACCAAUUCGACUAACUCAACGAUAAACGGGGAAUGUUCCGUGAUAAUAAUUGGAAAUGAUCCACAUCUUCAGUGUACUAGAAAACGAAGACGAUUGGAUCUUUCGACGACGGCUACGGACAUUCCCCAAAAGACGCAACGACGCAACGACGAACAGGACGAUGGAUGCGACGUUGAUAUUAUUCCCGUCGAUUCUUAUCGAAAUUCAGAAUCAAUAAAGCGUGAGAAAAAGAACGACGACGAUACGACGAGGAAGUUUAGGCAGGAUGUUUCUUACAACGUUAAUUGUCUUACGUCUGAUCAAAGAAAAAGUAAAAGAUUGCCGGACGAGAGAGAAUGCCAAGAAGAAAGACAGAUUGAAAAUGACACUUGUGUAGCAAACGUAAAGAGGAAGAAACAGGAACAGGAUGCAUCCGUACGUAGGCUUGUCCUUUCGAAUAAUAACGUCAAAGACGAAUCGACGAGGCUCAGAAAAACGAUACAGUGGCUCGAGGAAGGAGCACGUAGAUUACGAGAGGAUCUUGCUAAUGCCAGAACCGAGUUGCACGAGGAAAGAAGGGCCGCCAAGUUAGUCAAAAGAGAAAUCGAAACGGCCAUUAGGGAAGCGAAGGCUACGGAAGCUACCAAGUAUCAACUUAUAAUCUCGGAAUUGAAGAGCAGACUCUCUCGUGGGGCCUCGGCAGAAUCAAAUUGCACGUCGCCGUCGCCGUCGUCGUUGUCGUCGUCGUCGUCAUUGAAGGUGGACCUCAUAAAGGAAGAGAAUCAUAAACGAGAGAUAUCGGCAAUGAAGAAGAGGCUCGUAGAAUCGGAGAAUACGAUACGAAAGCUCAAGUUGGAAAGUUUGAAUCUUCAGGGAAAGAGCGCCCCCUGUAGACUCGAUGGUUCCACUUGUGCCGAGGUCCGACGCCUUCAAACUGAAAUUCACGCUUUACGCGCGAAUAACGAGAAACUCGAAGCGAAAUUACGUAUCGCCACAGAUGCCGAAAAAGUUCGAGCGGCCGAAUUACGGAUUCAACAUGAGAACCAUGAGGCCGAGCUCACUGCAUUACGAAAAUCUUUGAGAAGCGAAACGAUUAAAAUGAUGGACGAAAUGCGAGGAAAGAGUCGCGAGAUCGAGAAGCUUUCGAAACUACUGCAGGCCGAGAACUCCCGGAAACGGCGAAAGACGGCUGCGAAAGACGACUCACCGGGAAAUAAAGAAGAUAAAAGAAGAAGCAGGACUUGGUCGGCGGAAAACGCCGAUGUCCGGCACCGUCAACGCGGUCCUUUCAUUCUCGUUAUAUGUGUUCUCAAGGACGACGCGCGCCUCAUGGGGUUCGCGUGGAACGAGAUGCGGAAGUUACAGGACAGCGAGAGAAACGGACCGAUCCGGUCGACGUCUCGCGGAGAGAAGAAAUUCCUCGCGGAGGAUCAUACCUUGUAUAUUCGCGAAGACGGCUGCGACAGAGCCAUAGCCGAGAUCGAGGUCGAGCGCCUUCGUGAGCUUGCGCUUGAACAGCAAGAAGUCAUCGAGAUACUCAGGCAGACAGUCAAGGAAAAGGAACGAAAGCUCGAGCAACUGUCGAAUAAGAAAAGGAAAGAGGAAUUCUAUAGGCAAUGGUUGGAACUCGAGCCAGUGGCCGAAGUCGACGACGAGGAGGAUCAUGAGGAGGGUGACAGUGCCCUUUCGAGUGCACCAUCAUCCCUCUCUCCUCAGCCUGGUGGUUGUGGACAAUGGCAGGGAUCAGGUGUCACCAGAGAAGCUUACGAAGCUGUUCUUAUCGAAAUCGAGGAACUCCAAUCGAAACUGUUGGACGAACGUCAGGAAUUGUCUCGUGCGAAGACCGAAGUUCUUGAUCUUGAAAAAGCCCUUCUGCAGGAGACGAGAUGCAGCAAUCGCAACAAACAAUUGGAAGAACUGAACGAGAAGUUGCGAGCGACCGAAGAACGAGAGGCUAAUCUCCUGGUGGAAUUGUCCGAGUUGAGAGAACAAAACGAACUUCUAGAAUUCAGACUUCUCGAACUGGAAGAGUCACCCGCUCGUAGAGAGAAUCCUGAUCACACGGCUGAUAGCGGUAUUGUCUCGCCGGAACUGUUACAUCCGAGCAAGGAUCAGGCAAACAAGCAAAGAAAUCGUGCAGUGGCUACAGUGAUCCCGUACACAAACAACAAUAAUUACGCUACUACACGUUCGGUUUCGCCCGCACCACGAAAACCACCCCUGUCUCUUCAAGAAAGUGGUAUUUUCGAAGAAGAGGAUGAGGAGAGCUUAGAGAUCGAGCUAGCGAGUCGUGGAACACAAACGGAGAUACCUUCCGGUGAAUUAUUGCAAGAGGUUCAACGUCUUCAGGAACUCCGUGCACGAAUUCAAGAACGUGCAGCUAAAGUAACGAAUCCAACAAUCUGCUCGAUCGAUCCAACUACUAGAACCUGUCCACCGCUCGACACGGACGUUGAUUCGAUCGUUCAAUUGUCGUCCUAUCAGGAUCGCAUAAGAGAUUUGGAAGAGAGAUUGGAGGCUUACGAAGAGGCUGAAGAAAGGCAAAUCGAAGAAAGCCGAGUGACGAAGCAGAGGGAAGAAGAAUUGCUCGAUGAGAAUUACAGGCUAACGGAGAGGGUUUACUGGCUUGAGAAUAAAUUGCGUAACGUCGAGGAGCUCAUAGAGAAUAGGAGCAGAAGUAGAAGCAGCGAUAGGCUUCGCCUUGAUGAACAGAAGAAAAUCGAGAAUGAUGAACAAUGUGACUGUCAGAUUGUUGAAAAGAGGGAAACGAUAAUGGACACCUCCGUUGUACCAGAACAAAAAACAAAGGAAGAACUUAAUGAUGAAGAAAACGCAACGAUAGAAGUAAUGGAGGAAGUACUGAAUCGUUCGAAAAAAGUCCAAACGAUUGCUACUGGACCGAUCGAGGAUUGUCCUCAUUGCCGAGUUCAUCAGACGACCAAAAGAACCGAGCAAACAGAGCGAUGGAUUGCACCGGAAACACGGCGUAUUAUGGUCGAAGUUGUCCAAAAUUCUGCGGAAGUAGUCGAAGAGGUAGCAAAGGAGGCCAAAGAAGAAGAAAAUGGCGAUCUUCUCGACGAAAUGGAUGGCAAGGAGAAAAACGAGAACGACGACGGGAACCUAGGAAGAAGAAGAAGAAGAAGAAGGAUCUCGCAAGUUCCCGUGACGUUGGAGGAGAAUCAAAGGGAGAACGAGUCGAUCGAUUCGGUCGUUACCUUAAACGACGAAUUGGAGUCCGAAAAGAAGACAAAAUCUCGUCGUCUUAUGGCUAAAUGAUGAUCGUCGAAGGAAGAUAUCGCGGAAGAGGAAAAAAGAAGGGGAAAGCAAGAGACGGAAGAGUCGAGGAGAAGAUGGAGGAAAAUUAACUGAAGUUUAUCUUCCGGGAUAACGCAAUGUCGAGCUCUCGAAAGGAGCUCACGGAUUCGAGGAAGGUUCGUAAACCGUUGAGGAAGCAUGGAAGACGAGACAGACAUGGUCUCCUUGAGUUGAAUUUAGAUCAGCGACCGACUACUCGAAACUGGCCCAAGGACAAAAUGGCUGGCGUUGCUUGACAGCGGCCAAGCAUCGAUCAGAAUUUGUUCCUGAGGAAAGAACAGCGAAGUCAUCGUCAUCGUUGAGUACCAUCGAGAGCAAAUAGAAAAAAAAAAAAAGAAAAGAGAGUAUCAUGCGCGCUUGUAAAUCGAAGCCGACAGGUUACAUACGAUAAAAAUAAAAAGAAGCCAAAAGAAAGAAAAUCGAAGGACCCCAUUGCAAGUGCCAAAAUUAAUAUAAUCGGUUAAUAAAUUAAUAUAAUCGGUUUAUAUAUAAACGAGACCAAAUCAGAUUGCAUGAAUUUCGAUUUCGAAUUCAUCUACAUCUGAUAGAGAUAUAUUUUGAUGCUUUUUCUUUUUUAAUUUUUUUUCAUUCAAACGCGAUUGAAUAUCUUAUGGGAUUCAAACAAAACAGAUUGAAAAAAUGCCAAAUAAGGAAAGUAUCGAAAAUGUCAAAUCUAUGGAAAGUCGAUCGAGAAAAAAAUGUAUUUGAUCGCCGUUCUUGUUCGAAUAUAAUUCGAAAUGGCGAUUUAAUCGAUAACGAAACUUUCAAAUAUAAAUUUCGUGAGUCGCAUUUUUUUUCUUAUAUCGGUUUGACUCGUUAAUAUAUUCCGAUAAAAACUAUUUUGAAUACUUAAAAAGAGUUUCGCCGAAGUAAUCGUGCUUUCCAAAUUGUGUCUGAUCUUACGAGAAGCAAAAGAAAAAAAAAAAGAAAACUAAAAAUCCAGUCCGAUUCGGAUAAACGUACACGUUUCUCAGUUCUCUUUUAUACACACACACACACACACACAUAUAUAUAUAUAUAUAUAUAUAUAUAUAUAAUUUCUUUUUACAAUAUAAACAAAUAAUUUUUUUACGUCGCACAAAUUUUCUUCGAUGAAAAGGCUUCGUACCGUCGAUUUCUAUCUGAGAAACUUGUUAGAUUAUAGAAAGAAAAGAAAAAACGCAAAAGAAAGAAAAAAGAGUCGAUCCUUGCCAUUCUUUAUCCUCGCCUUUGUAUAAAACAGAUUCCGCUUGCUUUGUUUACCGAAAUCAUAAUCUUCACGUAAGCGAUUUUACGAAAUACGAAUCGAAACGAAUUCAUAAUCCCAACGAAGAUUAUACGUACGUAAGUAUUUAGCAGUGCGUACAGUACGAACAAAAUUGUAUCUUUUUUUUUUUUCAAAUCGAAUACGACGGAAUGAUACACGUAAAUAUGUAAAUACGUGUAUUUUUAACGAAAGAAAAACCAUGAAAAAAAGAGAGAAAGAGAUGAAAUCACUGGCCUGCAUUAUAUCUUUCGUAUCUUUGGAAAGAUAAGGAAUAGAGAGAGAGAAAGAGAGAGAGAGAAAAUAAAUGAACAAACGAAAGAAAGUGUGUGCGUGUAUGCCGGCUUUGCAUUAUAAUAUACGUAUACAAAUUAUAUAUAUAUAUAUUAUUUGAAUAACUUUGUAGGAUUUACAAAACGUGUCUCUAGUCCACUUUUCAUUCGAGCGUAGCGCCACGUUCUUUUUACCAUAUCGUUUUUACAGUGGUUAGUGUUUUGAGUUUUAUCCUUUAGUUUUACAAGUAUGUAUGUAUGUAAGCACACUACUACUGUAUUCAUAAUUUUACACGAGUCUUGUUAUUUUUAUUUUCUUCUUCGUCUUCUUGCUCCUUUGUUUUCUUUUUUUAGUGUUACGCGGUCGACAUGGAACUGUUUGUUCGUUUUAUCCUUUUAUCAUGUACCCGUAUACGAAAUAAAGUUGAUAUUGUUUGCGCGAA